ensembl:piRNA 21ur-2171 ncRNA
UAGUCACGUAAAUUGAUAGUC